rnacentral:rRNA from 1 species
UUGGAGGGCAAGUCUGGUGCCAGCAGCCGCGGUAAUUCCAGCUCCAAUAGCGUAUAUUAAAGUUGUUGUGGUUAAAAAGCUCGUAGUAGAAGCUCGGGCUCCGGCCGACCGGUCCGCCUCACCGCGUGCACUGGUUCGGCCGGGCCUUCACCUUCUGCGGAACCGCAUCUCCUUCACUGGGGGUGUCGGGGAAACAGGACGUUUACUGUGAAAAAAUUAGAGUGCUCCAGGCAGGCCUAUGCUCGAAUAGAUUAGCAUGGAAUAAUGGAAUAGGACGUGUGGUCUUAUUUCGUUGGUUUCUAGGACCGCCGUAAUGAUUAAUAGGGACAGUCGGGGGCAUCAGUAUUCAAUCGUCAGAGGUGAAAUUCUUGGAUCGAUUGAAGACUAACUACUGCGAAAGCAUUUGCCAAGGAUGUUUUCAUCUAUCAGGAACGAAAGUUAGGGGAUCGAAGACGAUCAGAUACCGUCGUAGUCUUAACCAUAAACUAUGCCGACUAGGGAUCGGACGGUGUUAUUUCUUGACCCGUUCGGCGCCUUACGGGAAAC